AUAUCUUAUUUACUUUUUUUUUCUUUUCAAUAUAUCUCUCAUAUAUUACUUUGUUAUUCCAAAAUAUAUUGCAGUUAUUAUCUAUUAAGUUAGGUUAAACAUGAAUUAAAUAUCUACUAGAGUUAAAAAAAAAAAAUCAAAAUAUCUCUUUUGCCCUUAACUUGAGGAUAAAUAAAAAAUAUUGGUAAUGAUAGAAGGAUAUAUUUAAAAAGAUAAAAAAUCAAAAUAUUUUUUCUGCACCCUAAUUUAAGAGCAAAUAAUAAAAGUCGGUGAUGGUGGAAGGGUAUAUAUUUAAAAAGACAAAAUAGUAACUUCAUACAAAUAAUAGUUAUUGCUAAUACUCCAAUAACAAAACUCAACUUUAGAAGUAUAUUUGAAAUAGGUUGGAACAUAAAAAAAUAUAUUUUUAAUAUUAGCCUUUCAAGAGGAAUAAUAAAUUAGAAAGUCGAAAAUUUUUCAAAAAUAUAUAAGCAAUUGGCCCUUAUUUUUAAUUACUU
rnacentral:lncRNA from 1 species